CAACGCGUACCGCACACCAACGUUUCCACAGUUUCGGACGCAGUAUAUCCGCCGGCGCAGCCAGCUGCUGCGGGAGAAUGCCAAGGCUGGGCACCCCCCAGCGCUGCGUCGGCAGUACCUGAGGCUUCGGGGGCAGCUGCUCGGCCAGCGCUACGGGCCCCUCUCCGAGCCAGGCAGUGCUCGUGCCUAUAGCAACAGCAUCGUCCGCAGUAGCCGUACUACUCUUGACCGCAUGGAGGACUUUGAGGAUGAUCCUCGGGCUCUGGGGGCCCGUGGGCACCGUCGUUCUGUCAGCAGAGGCUCCUACCAGCUGCAGGCGCAGAUGAACCGUGCCGUCUAUGAGGACAGCGUGGUGCCCACAUCAGCGGCAGAGGCAAGUCGGGCCAUGGCCGGGGACACAUCACUGAGCGAGAACUAUGCCUUUGCGGGCAUGUACCAUGUUUUUGACCAGCACGUGGAUGAGGCAGUCCCAAGGGUGCGCUUCGCCAAUGAUGACCGACACCGCCUGGCCUGCUGCUCACUCGACGGCAGCAUCUCCCUGUGCCAGCUGGUGCCUGCCCCACCCACAGUGCUUCGCGUGCUACGGGGCCACACCCGCGGUGUCUCCGACUUCGCCUGGUCCCUCUCCAAUGACAUCCUCGUGUCCACCUCACUGGAUGCCACCAUGCGCAUCUGGGCCUCUGA
rnacentral:sRNA from 1 species